ACAAUGGGUGUUAUAAGACGAAAAAAUGUCGAACGAAAAUCGAAUGUAACCUUGCGCACGGCGCUAAUACAACCGUCAACUACAGGAAUAUAUGGCGGGACUUCGCACAGCCCCAAUGUAGUGAUGCUGGCACAUUACUUCAUCAAGUACGAAAAGUCCAUGUUUGCCUGUUGGUUGAAAUUUAUCAACCCUAUCUUCUUCAACAAUGCCUGGACCAAGGGCUAUCUGUCACACUGAAAGAUCUCGCCGAAACGGCAAUAUAUAUAAAGGUCGAAGAAACACCGUUUUCAGACCUGAACAUGAGAUCUUGCCGAAUCGGCACUUGUAUUAUAAACACGUGGACUCGGCGUGUAUGUACAGUCAAUGACAGCAGAGGCAACAUUUGCUACAAGAGGUUGAAGAAAUACCGUCCAGUCAGACAUGAAUAUGAUAUCCUGCCGUUCGGCAGUUUAUAUUAAAAACACGUCAAUGGCAGUAGAGGCAACGACGGAGUUUAAUACAUGAAACUUGGCAAUGGUCAACGUUGCGGAAAAAAUGUUAGGUGAUCCCUUCGUAUGAGUACAAUAUGAGAUCAAGCCGUAGACUAACUUAGUCACCAAAACGGCAUAUUGCAUUGUCAUAAGGCCGACUCGGCGGAUAAUGCACAAUUUGGCAAUGCCAAUGGUCAACCUUGCGGAAG